CUGAGGGCAGCAGGCUGAGGGCAGCAGGCUGAGGGCAGCAGCAAAGAAGAAAAGAAGUUAGGGAACAAACAUCAGGAACAAACAUCAGGAACAAACAUCUGGAGUAAACAGCUGGAACAAACAUCAGGAACAAACAUCUGGAGUAAACAGCUGGAACAAACAUCAGGAACAAACAUCUGGAGUAAACAUCAGGAACAAACAUCUGGAACAAACAUCUGGAGUAAACAGCUGGAACAAACAUCUGGAACAAACAUCUGGAGUAAACAGCUGGAACAAACAUCAGGAACAAACAUCUGGAGUAAACAUCAGGAACAAACAUCUGGAACAAACAUCUGGAGUAAACAGCUGGAACAAACAUCAGGAACAAACAUCUGGAAUAAACAUCUGGAGUAAACAUCUGAAACAAACAUCAGGAACAAACAUCAGGAACAAACAUCUGGAGUAAACAUCAGGAACAAACAUCUGGAGUAAACAUCUGGAACAAACAUCUGGAGUAAACAUCUGGAACAAACAUCUGGAGUAAACAGCUGGAACAAACAUCUGGAGUAAACAGCUGGAACAAACAUCAGGAGCAAACAUCAGGAACAAACAUCAGGAGUAAACAGCUGGAACAAACAUCUGGAGUAAACAUCAGGAACAAACAUCAGGAACAAACAUCUGGAGUAAACAGCUGGAGUAAACAUCUGGAGUAAACAUCUGGAACAAACAGCCGUGGCUUCAGUGAAGCUGAUUAACAGCCAACAGGGUUUCAGGUGUCAGCUGCAAUAUUUUAAACAUUUGCUUCUUUGUUUGUUUAGAUGAGUUUGACUUGCAGCGGAGUGUGUGUCUGUAAUAUCACACAGUACUGACUGAACAGUUGUAUUAGUGACUCUGUGUCGGUGUCGUUCAGUGAGACCUGGAGAAUAAAGAGUGAAAAUCCAGCUCCAGGUCUUUACUGGACUCAGCUGUCGGUCCAGUCUGAUGACGGGGCGCUCCCGGAGGACAGAGUACAGCGGUAGAUAAAUACAAAUAACAGAGUAACUAAAUGAAAGUGUGUAAAAAUGUAAACUUAUUUCCUGUUUCAGUCUCUGUGUUGUAUCAGGUGUGACCAGCAGAGAGCGCCGCUGCUUCAGCCUGAAGACAGCAACCCUUUAAUAAACUUCAUCAUGUCUCAUUUUCAUGGA